CAGGUUACUCUGAAAGUGUCUGGCCCUGGGAUAUUGCAGCCAUCACAGACUCUCAGCCUGGCCUGUACUUUCUCUGGGAUUUCACUGAGUACUUCUGGUAUGGGUUUGAGCUGGCUUCGUAAGCCCUCAGGGAAGGCUUUAGAGUGGCUGGCAAGCAUUUGGAAUAAUGAUAACUACUACAACCCAUCUUUGAAGAGCCGGCUCACAAUCUCCAAGGAGACCUCCAACUACCAAGUAUUCCUUAAACUCACCAGUGUGGACACUGCAGAUUCUGCCACAUACUACGGUGCUUGGAGAGAG